rnacentral:lncRNA from 1 species
AGGAUUUUCAUAAUCAUGAAGAAGUGAAAGAUCUGACGGAUGAAAAUUGCAUUUUGAAGACAGAUAUUGCUAUACCCAGACAGGAAAUAUGCACAAUGAAAAAUGACAACCUGGAAAAAGAAAAUAAAUAUCUUAAGGACAUUAAAAUUGCUAAAGGAACAAAUGCUGCCCUUGAAAAUUGUAUAAAACUCAAUGAGGAAAUGAUAACAAAAACAGCAUUCCGGUAUCAACAAGAGCUUAAUGAUCUCAAAGCUGAGAAUACAAGGCUCAAUUCUGAACUGUUGAAGGAAAAAGAAAGCAAGAAAAAACUGGAAGCUGAAAUUGAAUCUUAUCAGUCUAGACUGGCUGCUGCUAUAAGUAAACACAGUGAAAAUGUGAAAACAGAAAGAAACUUAAAACUUGCUUUAGAGAGAACACAAGAUGUUUUUGAACAAGUAAAAAUGAGUUCUGAUAUUUCCGAAGUAGAAGAUAAGAAUUAGUUUCUUACUGAACAACUUUCUAAAACGCAUAUUAUAUUCAAUACUUUAAAAGAUAAGUUCUGGCCGCCGCCGCUGCAGCCUGCUGGGCUGGAGGAAGCGGAGCUGGUGCUGUCCCGGCUCUCUUGCGGGGAAGCAACUGAGGGGGCAGCGCGGCGGGCCCUGGCAGCCGAAGAGGCUGGCAGGUGGCGCCGUGGGGUGGGUGCUCCUGGUGAGAGGAGUCCACUCCAUACGUGCGGGCGGAGGCUGGCCCCCGAGAGCCGCCGACAUGAAGAAAGACGUGUGGAUCCUGCUGGUGGGAGAACCUAGAGUUGGGAAGACAUCAAUGAUUAUGUCUCUGGUCAGUGAAGAAUUUCCAGAAGAGGUUCCUCCCCGGGCAGAAGAAAUCACCGUUCCAGCUGAUGUCACCCCAGAGAGAGUUCCAACACACAUUGUAGAUUACUCAGAAGCAGAACAGAGUAAUGAACAACUUCAUCAAGAAAUAUCUCAGGCUAAUAUCAUCUGUAUAUUGUAUGCUGUUAACAACAAGCAUUCUAUUGAUAAGGUAACAAGUCGAUGGAUUCCUCUCAUAAAUGAAAGAACAGACAAAGACAGCAGGCUGGAGUGCAGUGGCGGGAUCUCGGCUCACUACAACCUUCACCUCCCAGCUGCCUGCCUUGGCCUCCCAAAGUGCUAAGAUUACAGCCUCUGCCCACCCGCCACCCCGUCUACAAAGUGAGCAGCGUCUCUGCCUGGCCACCCAUCAUCUGGGAUGUGAGGAGCCCCUCUGCCCAGCCGCCCCGAAUGGGAAGUGAGGAACACCUCUGCCUGGCCGCCCCAUCUGGGAAGUAAGGAGCACCUCUGCCCAGCCGCCACCCCGUCUAGGAAGUGAGGAGCGUCUCUGCCUGACCGCCCAUCCUCUGGGAUGUGAGGAGCGCCUCUGUCUGGCUGCCCUGUCUGGGAUGUGAGGAGAGACUCUGCCCGGCCUCCCAUCGUCUGGGAAGUGAGGAGCGCCUCUGCCCGGCUGCCCCAUCUGGGAGGUGAGGAGCACCACUGCCCGGCCGCCCCACGUCUGGGAGGAAGUGAGGAGCGCCUCUGCCCGGCUGCCCCAAAUGGAAAGUGAGGAGCACCUCUGCCCGACCGCCCCGUCUGGGAUGUGGGGAGUGCCUCUGCCCAGCUGCCCCAUGUGGGAAGUGAGGAGCGCCUCUGCCUGGCCACCACCCCACCUAGGAAGUGAGGAGCACCUCUGCCCGGCUGCCCUGUCUGGGAAGUGAGGAGCGCAUCUGCCCGGCUGCCCUGUCUGGGAAGUGAGGAGCACCUCUGCCCGGCCGCCACCCUGUUUAGGAAGUGAGGAGCGCCUCUGCCCAGCCGCCCCGUCUGGGAUGUGGGGAGCACCUCUGCCAGGCUGUCCCAUCUGGGAAGUGAGGAGCGCCUCUGCCCGGCCACCCCGUCUGGGAGGUGAGGAGUGCCUCUGCCUGGCUGCCCGGUCUGGGAAAUGAGGAGCACUUCUGCCCGGCCACCCCGUCUGGGAGGAAGUGAGGAGUGCCUCUGCCCAGCCACCCCAUCUGGGAAGUGAGGAGCACCUCUGCCCGGCCACCCAUCAUCUGGGAAGUGAGGAGCGUCUCUGCCCAGCCACCCUGUCUGGGAGGUGAGGAGUGCCUCUGCCCGGCCGCCCCAUCUGGGAGGUGAGGACCACCUCUGCCUGGCUGCCCCAUCUGGGAGGUGAGGAGCGCCUCUGCCCGGCCGCCCCGUCUGGGAGGUGAGGAGCGCCUCUGCCCGGCCGCCCCGUCUGGGAAGUGGGGAGCACCUCUGCCCGGCCACCCCAUCUGGGAGGAAGUGAGGAGUGCCUCUGCCCAGCCGCGCCAUCUGGGAGGUGAGGAGCAUCUCUGCCUGGCCACCCCAUCUGGGAAUUGAGGAGCACCUCUGCCCGGCCACCCAUCGUCUGGGAAGUGAGGAGCACCUCUGCCCAGACGCCCCAUCUUGGAUGUGAGGAGCACCUCUGCCCAGCCACCACCCCGUCUGGGAGGUGAGGAGCACCUCUGCCUGGCCGCCCCGUCUUGGAAGAGAGGAGCAUCUCUGCCUGGCCACCCCAUCUGGGAGGUGAGGAGCCCCUCUGCCUGGCCGCCCAUCAUCUGGGAAGUGAGGAGUGCCUCUGCCCAGCC